ACUUAAAAUUGAAAUGAAUGUACAGGUAGCGAAUGACAGCCAUGUUGUGAAAGAUUGUUUUUAUUAUGGAAACAUAACAGAAUUGUGUAUGAGCUGAGCCCGAGAAAAAUAUCCUGUGAGGCGGAUAAUACGUCGUAGUGCAACUAUUCAUCCGAAUGAGGGGCCAAAAUAUGAAUCGGCAGAAGUUGUAACUUCUACAGAGCAACUAUGAAUAAAUUGGCCAUGGUGGGAAAUCUUUGUUGGAUGUUUCGGAAAUGCUUCCCGAUGGUAUUUUUAUUCUGAAAUUUUCAAGAACAGUGCAAAUAAAAAAAAAAUCAACCUAAAUUUUGGGAAAAAAUCGAAAAAGUAGAUGAGUAUUUCAAGCCAAAAUUUUAAUUUGAACCCAUCAAUAAAUUUGUGAAAAAACAAUGUAUUUUAUCGAAUUCGCA